UACAGAGGGGGCAAGCGUUAUUCGGAUUUACUGGGCGUACAGGGAGCGUAGGCGGUUGGAUAAGCCCUCCGUGAAAUCUCCAGGCUUAACCUGGAAAGUGCAGAGGGGACUGUUCAGCUAGAGGAUGGGAGAGGAGCGCGGAAUUCCAGGUGUAGCGGUGAAAUGCGUAGAUAUCUGGAGGAACACCGGUGGCGAAGGCGGCAUCCUGGACCGGCAUUGACGCUGAGGCGCGAAAGCCAGGGGAGCAAACGGG
rnacentral:rRNA from 1 species